GGGCCUGUAGCUCAACGGCAGAGCAGGCGGCUCAUAACCGCUUGGUUCCAGGUUCGAGUCCUGGCGGGCCCA
rnacentral:tRNA from 1 species